UGGGGAAUAUUGGACAAUGGGCGAAAGCCUGAUCCAGCCAUGCCGCGUGUGUGAAGAAGGUCUUCGGAUUGUAAAGCACUUUAAGUUGGGAGGAAGGGCAGUAAGCGAAUACCUUGCUGUUUUGACGUUACCGACAGAAUAAGCACCGGCUAACUCUGUGCCAGCAGCCGCGGUAAUACAGAGGGUGCAAGCGUUAAUCGGAAUUACUGGGCGUAAAGCGCGCGUAGGUGGUUCGUUAAGUUGAAUGUGAAAGCCCCGGGCUCAACCUGGGAACUGCAUCCAAAACUGGCGAGCUAGAGUAGGGGAGAGGGUGGUGGAAUUUCCUGUGUAGCGGUGAAAUGCGUAGAUAUAGGAAGGAACACCAGUGGCGAAGGCGACCACCUGGGCUCAUACUGACACUGAGGUGCGAAAGCGUGGGGAGCAAACAGG
rnacentral:rRNA from 1 species